UGAAGUGGCCAGUCUCUCUCUCUCUCUCUCCCUCCCUGUCCCUCUUCCUCUUCCUCACUCUCCGUCUCGGUCACUCGGUACCAGAGCGGUAAUUCUGAAGAGUACUGAGUGAGCAGCUAUACAGUAGUGGGCUCCGUUUCCACACCAGAAGCAGGACCAGCAGGACUUCCCGCUCCCUCCCCGACAGCCCGCAUGGAGGCACUAACCGGCCGCAGACGCUGCGCCCGUGUCCGCUCCCUCACAGAACCUUCUUGUCCAGUCUGAGGGGGGGUUGGGUUGUUGGUGGCGGCGGAAAGAAGAAGUCUGCAAGAUCACUUUCCACCCGAGAGGAGGAUUUUCUUUUUUUUUGAAGGCGAACUGCUCCUCUCUCUCGCUAUUGACUUUCUUGAAAGAGCAUCGAUGAAUUCGGAUAAAAAUGUUUACCUCGGCAGAGACAAAGGCAUCAUGCGGAAGAGAGCCUUGCUCCUUCGGAAGGGCUGCAGCUUCGAGAUUACCAGCUCGGCCUCGGAGGACUUGGGCUGCAGGCGUGGAGACUUCAGCAGGAAGCACUACGGCUCUGUGGAGCUGCUGAUAUCCAGCGAUGCAGAUGGCGCCAUUCAGAGGGCAGGACGCUUCAGGGUGGAGAAUGGCUCCACAGAUGAGCAGACUUUGGACUACACUCCUGGAACCUGGAGGAGAACCGAUGUCCAUCUGGAGAAUCCCGAGUACCACACCAGAUGGUUCUUUAAAUACUUUCUGGGAAAAGUCCAUCAGAACUACGUGGGCACGGAUGCGGAGAAGAACCCCUUCUACCUGUCAGUGGUGCUGUCAGACCAGAACAACCAGCGGGUGCCGCAGUAUCGAGCCAUCCUGUGGAGAAAAACGGGGACCUUGAAGAUCAGCCUCCCCUACAGCCCCACCAAAACACUAUCGGUCAAGUCCAUCCUGAGCGCAAUGAACAUGGACAGGUUUGAGAGAGGCCCCAGGGAGAUCCUCAACCCUGACAUUCAGAAGGAUCUGCUGGUGCUGGAGGAACAAGAGGGCUCUGUCAACUUUAAAUUUGGUGUACUGUACGCCAAAGACGGACAGCUCACAGACGAUGAGAUGUUUAGUAACGAAAUGGGCAGCGACAGCUUUGACAAGUUUCUCAAUCUGCUGGGUGACACCAUCACGCUGCAGGGAUGGGCGGGCUACCGGGGAGGCCUCGACACCAAGAAUGACACUACAGGGAUCAAGUCCAUCUACACGGUGUAUCAGGGCCACGAGCUCAUGUUCCACGUGUCCACCAUGUUGCCCUAUUCUAAAGAGAACAAACAGCAGGUGGAGCGAAAGAGGCAUAUCGGAAACGACAUUGUCACCAUAGUAUUCCAGGAGGGCGAUGAAGUAUCGUCGUCCUUCAAACCCUCCAUGAUCCGAUCGCACUUCACCCAUAUUUUUGCAUUAGUUCGAUAUAACAGCCAGAAUGACAGCUACAGGUUGAAGAUAUUCUCAGAAGAGAGCGUGCCGCUGUUUGGACCCCCUCUACCGUCGCAGCCCGUGUUUACCGAUCACCAUGAAUUCAGGGACUUUUUACUCGUCAAACUAAUCAAUGGAGAGAAAGCCACACUGGAGACACCAACAUUUGCCCAGAAGCGUCAGCGGACCCUGGACAUGCUGAUCCGCUCACUCUACCAAGACCUCAUGCCCGACCUGCACAAGGUCCCUUUUUCCCCACAGAACAUGCUGAACCGGCGCUCCUUCAGCGACGUGCUGCCCGAGUCGCCAAAGUCGGCUCGCAAGAAGGAGGAGGCGCGGCAGGCCGAAUUUGUCAGGAUAGGCCAGGCUCUCAAGCUGAAGACCAUCGUGAGGGGUGAUGCCCCCACCAGCCUAGUCACAACCGGCCUGUGCAGAAAGGAGCCGUGGGAGUCGCAGUCGUUCUGCAGUACGUUCCCGUAUGAGAUCGUGUGUGCCGACUCCUGGGGUCAGUCGUUGCUGGUGGCCACCGACACAGCGGGGGUCGUCCUGCUGGAGGGACCUGAUCCGCCUUCGUCCUGCACCGAAGCGCAGGCUCUCCCCCCGGUGCAAGUGUUUGACAAGACGCUGCUGGUGAAGCAGAUGCACAUUCUCGAGCCUCAGGACCUGCUUGUCACCAGGGCGGACAAAGGGAAGGAUGCUCGGCUUUACGUGUUCCGACUGAGCAUGCUCAAGAGAGGCCUGGAGGAGAGGCAGCUCGCCAGGAGCAAGUGCGACAGCCGGGAGAAUAAACUGGAGAAAACGAAAGGAUGCCAUUUGUACUCCAUUAACACCCAUCACGGCUCGGAGCUGAGGAUCGUGGCAGCCAUCAGGAACAAGCUCCUCCUCAUCACCAGGAAGCGCUUCGAAGGCUUCAGCGCCAUGGGAGCGGACUCGCCGGUGGAGGAGUUUCAGUACAUACGGGAGAUCUGCCUGUGCGACCCGCCCGCGGUGAUGGCGCUGGUGGACGGGCCGACGGGCGAGAACGACAACAUGAUCUGCGUGGCCUACAAGCAUCAGUUCGACCUCAUCAACGAGAGCACCGGCGACGCCUACCGGCUGCACCAUGUCGACGCCAACAGGGUCAAUUUUGUGGCAGCGAUCGACAUGUAUGAAGAUGGCGAGGCAGGUCUGCUGUUGUGCUACAAUUAUGUUUGUUACUACAAGAAAGUUUGUCCGUUCAACGGCUCCACGCCCAUGAUCCAGUCCAACACGUCCGACUUCCACUUCAGCUGGAACCAGAUGCCCAAUGCUAUUGUUUGCGCCUUCCCGUACAUUUUGGCCUUUACGACAGACUCCAUCGAGAUCCGCCUGGUGGUCAACGGCAACCUUGUGUACACGGCGGUGGUCCCGGAGCUGCAGCUAGCCUCCUCACGGUCGGACAUCUACUUCAUUUCGUCGGCACCGGUGAGCUCGGCCUCCAACUGCAGUUCCAGAGACACCAGUUCACAGAGUUCCCCGCAAACUCCCACCGGCUACGAGAUGCCCGUCUUCCCCUCGCCCCUCGGUGACGAUUCUAUACGGAUCCCCUACGGUACCAAGCUUUCGCUGUACAUGUCAAAGGAUGCCGAAGGUGACGCGUCGUGCAAACACGUCUUCAAGAUCCCGCUGUGCAACCUGGUGGGCCGCAGCAUCGAAAGGCCACUCAAGUCGCCGCUGGUCAACAAAGUGCUGACGGCGCCGUCGGCUCCCGCCGUGGUCGCCACCACGCCCCUCAUCUCGGCCACGCACUCGCUCUCGCUCUCCCGCAUGGAGAUCAAGGAGAUAGCCAGCCGCACGCGCAAGGAGCUGCUGGGCCUAACAGAAGAACCCAGCGGGAAAUCGGACAGCGGCACUUUGAAACAGAGGAAGAUGAGCAAGAAGAACACGGAGGACGAAGCUAAACCUCGAGCGCUGACGUCAACAAACAGCGACAGGUUGGACUCUGAGGCCAGUGAGUCGGACCUGGACAUCUGCGCCGUGUCGUCCCACCUGGAGGCUGAGCCGGAGAAGUCGGUGCUGCAGGCGGAGAGUCCGCCGCUCGCCAGCGCCUUCGCCCUUGCCACUUCCUUUGAGGAAGACGUCCUGGACCUAAAGUGAAGACAAUCCCAUCGUGCACUUCUCUCCACGGCCUUUUCUAGGCUCUCCUUCUUUUUGCUUGCCGUGCUUCUUUGGUUGGCUUUAUAUCACAUGUUUGCAUCUUUGUGAGUGUCCCCUUCCACAGGACAAGACUGACGUUUUUGUCAGAGUCGCCCUGCUGCACCAGUUAACCCAAAGAGGCAACAAUGAGCUUUAGAGGCCAUUUUUGUCCUUCAGCAGCCUUCAGAUGACAGUUGAUCCCAAACCUCAAACUGAAUGUAAAUCUGCACAUUCAACACAAUUCACUCUCCCAUCACUAUACCCAUUCUUAUUUUUCCCACUCCACCUUGUAAUGAUGAUGCUAGUGUACAUCUGUUUAUACGCAAAGACAGUGUCUAUAUUAGGAAAAAAUAUAUAUAUUUUAUUCUCAUAUUUAGUAAAUGUUCUAUGCUGUGUUCCAGUUGCCCCCUUCUACUCAAUAUACGCAGGUUAACAGGGCUGGAGGUGUGUCAUUAAGUGCCAUUUCUCAGCAGCCACCAGUGCGCCUCCUUGAAAGACAGCAUACUUCCGGUAGCAGCCAUGAUUGUAGUCCACGUCCGGUGGAGCGCUUUACAAGAAAAACCCAUGUUGAAGCAAAGUGUCCUUGCUUUCACAAACAAACAAAUGACAAAGUUAGCAUAGAAUUAUUCAUAUUUAGCGAUAUUGCGUGUGUUUUGGGCAACAAAAGCGUUUUGAGUGUACAAUUGCCACCUUUUGCAGAUUAAACCCUGCCGUGGCUCACUAUCGCCUCUUCAGGUCGCAAGUGGUAUUACGAGAUAAUCGACAAUUCUCCGUCUGUGAACUACAAAGUAAAUAUGGCUUCCUGGUAGCAGUGUGUCCAACUAUGCUAACAUUGGUACUACAGCGCCUCCGUGUGGUGGCUUUGCGUCACAGCAGCCUUCUGAUCGCUUGCAUGAGCUAGCUCUUCUUCAUGUCCUCCUCUUUCCUGCUCGUGUCCUCCAUUUAAAAAAGGCGGUGGAAGGUGGAUGUUUACAAGAUGCUCCACUCUGUGUGUUUUAUGACUGAGGUCCACGUGGCCGUCUGUGGAUGAACGAUGGGCUGAGCAGGCUAACACGCAGACGCCUCCGGGCAGGAAGCAGUCUGCUGGGGAGGAGGAGAAAGGAAAGUCGAUAAAAUGCGAUGGAAUUAUUUCAGUCAGUCAAAUACGCCCCCAAAAAUGUCAUUUUUACGCAAUUUUGCUGAUUGCUUUUUAAGGCGGAAGGGGAAGUUCAAAGUUCACCCGUAAGAAAGUCAAAAAUCAAUUUGCAACAAACCGCACUGAGUCAAAUCUCAAAUGAAAGACCUCGGUGAGCACUUUCUAGAUCUGCAAUUAUUUUCUCAUCAUAACCUUUUAUCAUUCCUAAUAUGACAGGAAACAUUUUUUGCUUGUUUAUUUCUGCUUGAAAAUGUCAUCUUCGCCAAAUAAAUACAAAAACUCUUCAUAUUCACCGUGUAUGUUCCUUGGCCUCAUGCGUUUUGACAGGUCAAAGCUUCAACAUUCAGAGUGCCAAAGUUCACCCGGAAGAAAGUCAAAACUUAUGAAUUUGCAACAAACCACAUUGAGUCACAUCUCAAAUGAAAUGCCGCCCCCCCCCGGCGAGCACUUUCUGGAUCUGUAUUUUGUCAUUAUAACCCCUUAUAAUUACCAAAAUGACCAAAAAAAACACGUUUUGCUUGUUUAUUUUUGCUUGGGAAUGUCAUCUUGCCCAUUUAAUCGUUUACCAAAUGAAUACAAAAACUCGUCUUAGUCAUGGUAGUAUAUGUUCUUUGGCAUCAUACAUUUAUAUCUGGUGAAAGCAUUAACAUUUACAGUACCUAAAUUCAAAGUUCACUCAUAAUACACUAAGUCUCCUACUAAUGAACAUCCGACGUGCGGACUUUCGGGAUACGAACACAAGCCGACUAGUCUAUAUUUUCAUGUGUUUUGCCUUAUAAGUCCAUAUUUAUACUGUACAUGCUUGACCAGCAGAGGGCACUGUGACACUGCUAAUGGCACCAACAGCGGGAGAACAAGAGGAGGAGGAGGGGAGGAGAGAGAAGGCUACCUUGUAGUUUUAUGAUACAACCCGGACAGAGCGUGUUAUUAAAGUUUAUGAAGAGUUAAUAGGCCUGCUUAAUUCUACACCACCCACAGAACACUACCUCUUUUAGAAGAGUCUAACCACCACCACCAUUUGUCCUUUUUUUCAAUAUCUCCUCCUCCUCCUCCACGAUGACGUAUGCUCGACCACUCCUCUUCAAAGGAAAACUCCACAAAUCUCAAAGAAUCCCAGCUUGAGUCAUCAUCCGGCAUCAGGAAAAUCACCGGCAAAGCACACAACAAUGCUGGAGAAAUAUCAGCCUGAGGCACGAGGUGAUAAAACACAACAUAGCAGCAGGGUGAUGGGAGACGCCCCCCCCUCCCCUCCCUCCUUCGUGCUCCCUGGGGCCCCCUCAGGAUAUGACAGAGAACAGACGCUUACAUAAGAGCUGCAGGAAUGCUUGGAGCUUCGCCCGUGGAAUCGUGGAUGAUGCCCAUGCACGGGGCCCCUCAUCAAAUGACACAAAUGUGAGGGUCUUCCUUCAAGAGCUUCGUCAAAGACAAAAGAACACAGCGAGACGGCGUUUGCUUUGACAACACGUGAGCGUCCUCUCGACACAAAAUAAACUUCAAACGCAUCCUGUUUGGUAAACAUAUUGCACUCCUCGGUGGUGGUGGUGUUGGGGGGGGUCAAAGGUGACCACGGUCCUAAGCGUACGCCGCCACGGCUGCCAGGAUCUGCAGCGCCAUGGAGACGCACGGCACCUGCGCCACCACGUAGGCCAGCGAGCGGGUGGGCGCCGGCAGGGCCCCCAGGUAGGCCACGCUGUGCAUAGCGCGAGCCCCCAAGAACACCAGGAAGUGGAGGCGCGCCACGGCCAGCGAGGGGCCCGUCAUGGAGUACACAGCGCCCAGGAAGAGGAAGGGGAAGAUGUUCUCCAUGUCGUUGCGGUGAGCUCUGCAAGAAGACAAGGUGGGGGUUUGAAACUGGUUUUUCAUUGCUAGCAUCACUGUCGUCAUCACAAAAGCACCUCAUUAGGGCCUGUUAGCACAAAAAUGUAAUUUUUGAUAAUACUAAACACUUUCCAAGGCACCCAAAGCGCUUCACAAUGAAGUGAACGCAUCAUUCAUUCACUGGUGGUGGUGGUAUUCUAUAUCUGUAUCAACAGCUGCCUUGCAGUAGUCUGACAGAAACAUGGCUGCCAAUCACUGCCUGCGGCCGCUCCGACCACAACCAAACAUUCAUUUGCAUUCAUACACCAGUGUGGGCAGCACUGGAGGCAAGUGGGUGAAGUGGGGCACCAUGACAAAAAUAUAGUGGGACACGACAACAGUGGCCAGAGUGAGGAUGGAACCUGCCCUACCUCCAGAGCCGCAGCCGCCCAACUUUUAGGACACUUCCGUGUACAUCCGACAACGUUUUUCGAUCUAUCCUCGUCCUGUGCCCGAGCCGUGCACAGAACGUAACACCUGCUUUUCCCAAAAGCGUAUUUGUAACAUUGUAGUCACCGUUUACUUGGAUGGGAAUUUGUGUCCAGGUAGCCCCGAGUCUCCGCUGGUCACACUUGACUGUGCAGGCGUCAGUAGAAGGCCUCAGAACGCACACAAAAAUACAAAGUUGCCUCUCGGAAUGUUUACAUGCGACGCAGUGUUAGGGCCACGUUGAAAAAAAUAUAAUCAUCUGAUAAUAACCUUUCGAGAACAAAGUCGUAAAUGUACGAGAAAGUCGUAAACUUACGGGCAUGAAGUCACAAAUUAUUCUUCAUGCUCGUAAUGUUACGAGUUUUCUCUCGUGAAUUAAAGAGUUUAUUCUCGUAAAUUUACGACUUUAUUCUCGAAAUUUGCGAUGAUUUGAACACUCCAUCGUAACGGGCGUUGCCUGGGACAGCCGCUGGACGAAAAGGGAGGGCUUACGUGACCUUCGGCAUUGGGCUAAUUCCGACUUUUUUUCUUGGAAAUUUACGACAUUUUUUUCUUGUUGUUUAACGACUUUUUCCUUGGAAAUUCACGACUUUAUUCUUGAAAGCUCAGAUGUCUUUUUUUCUUCCGUGUAGUCCCAAUACUCCGUCCGUGAUACUCGUCCACUUUUCAGACACGUCUUUUCAAAUUCUUUGCAUUGUUAAAAAAAGAAAAAAAAAAAAUUUUUUUGCGUUUUAUAUUUUCAAAAUAGCUCUGAUGCACUUCUUUUAAUGACACUUAGAAUACAAUGUAAAGACAAGAAGUGAAACAUUUUAUUUUAUUUUGAAAUAUAUAUUGCUUUUUUUUAUUGAUGGUUUAAAAAACAUUUGCUCUGAUGCACUUAUUUGAAUUACGUAACCCGGGAUGACCACGUAAAUAAAAACAUAGAAAAUGGAUGGAUGGAUGGAAAAUGUCAAAACGAGAAUGACAUUUUGAUGUAAACAUAUGAAUUUUUAUCGAAAUCAAAAUCUUGAUUCAAUUCAGUAUCAUCUCAGUA